CAACUACUCCCUCUGUCCCAAAGUUCUUGUCUUAGAUUUGUCUAGAUACGGAUGUAUCAUACAUCUGUAUCUAGACAAAUCUAAGACAAGAAUUUUGGGACGAAGGGAGUACUUU
rfam:Triticum aestivum genome assembly, contig: Triticum_aestivum_CS42_TGACv1_scaffold_408379_5BL